CAGAAACAAGCCGAGUAAGUCGGUAUCGUCGCCGAAGCCGUAGUAGAAGUUACAGCCGUUCCCCUCGAAGGUACUAAUACUGAUCCUACUUGUUGUAGUGUACUUGAUGCAUAGAUAGUUGAAUUUGUCAAAAGUGAGUAUUGUCUUGCCUAAGUUUAUGAUCUGGUGUUCCGUAAAGUUCCUUUACCUUUUUUACUUUAUGUAGUUGGUUCUUUAUUUAAAUGUAUUUGUGAAUUUAGUGAUUAACUGAGCGAUGCCUGUCUAUGAGAUGCAUGCUGGUGGAGCUAGAGGCCAUAAUUCCUGUCUACAAAGUUAGUUCGCCUAUUCACAUAGCAAACUUGUGUGAUUUCGAAACCCGCAUGUCUACCAAGUCAGUGGUUUGGGGAAGUGUCUAAGACUAGAUGAAUCAAAAUAGGUUGUGCCCAGACCUUUCAAGUAAUUGGUAAUGCGGGUUAAAACGAGGUAAAUUAAUGGUCAAAGCAAAGCUUCUUUCAGUUAUUGGUCCUCUUAUUUGUGUUUUCAGCAAGUAUGUAUACCCAGCUCUCUUCGGCCCUCGUCUCCAUCCCUCAUCAUUAUGGCUUUAGGUGAAACCUUAUUCAAAAUAUGUCUAUUGUUGCCUUAAUUCCUGAAAAUUCAAAGAGUACGAGCCCAAGGCUGCUCUUUUUCCUUCAAUAUCAGAGAUUCAAUAGCCCUAACCUUCUCAACUAAUGACGAAAUUCAAAACAAAUACCUCCUCAAGUUUGUUCUUGAUGGAUUUGUGAAAUGGGGGUUGAGUUUUUCUGUCUUUUGGGUACAUUUAACUUUAAAUGGACCUCACUAAUUUGACUAGGAGUAAUGCAAUUGAAAAACUGGUCCUUGAUUUUGUGAAGUCAAGGAAGUGGGAUUCAUUUUUUUUUCUUUUCGAGGAAAAGGGAGUUGGAAUUUGCUUGCUUGAAUCUGUUUGUUUGUGUUCUUUCCCCCGAUUACCGUGGUGUCCGGGCCAACUUGUGCGCACCUCGACUAAUUCCACGGGAUACUUGCUACCUCCAGCAACAGAUACCAGAUAACUCUUUCCACUAAGGCUUGGACAGAUGAGAAGAAAUUACCUAGCGUUUUUUCUCCAUUGGGAAUUGAAUCUAAGACCUCAUGGUUCUAAACCCACUUCAUUGACCAAUAGGCCACACCCUUGGGUGCUUGUAUGUUUUUUAAAAAUGCAUUUGCUGUUGUCUGACAUAGAUUUCACAUUAAAGCUCAUAACAAAGGCAAAAGAAAAUUAAAAGUAGAGAAACUUGGUCCUAUUAGACUGCUGAAUAUUAGGAAUUCCUAUAGUUAAGAGGGAGAUCUAACUAUCUAAUCAGUCACUUGUUUUAUUUUUUGGAGAUCUCCAGAAGAACUUGUAAUAUUCAGCAUUUUCAUGAAUUUCUUGCAAUCCAAUUGAGAUAUACAUAUUUGAUACUUUCUUAAUCGUAAAAGGAAUUGUUGGUUCAGAGUACAAGGAUCAAAAUAUCUAGCUUUAGGGGUCGUUUGGUAGGGUGCAUAAGAAUAAUGCUGAANNNNNNNNNNNNNNNNNAAAAAUCAUUGCAUUGCUAAUACCAUGGUUUCUAUGCAUUAGUUAUGCAUAGGAUAAUACCAAAUAGAAUGUAUAACUAAUGCUUGCAUAAUUAAUGCAUAGGUUCAAAAUAUCUACCAAACAAGGUAUUAUUAAUACACAAAGCUAAUGCAUGCAUUAUUUUAUCUAAUGCAUCCUACCAAAUGACCCCUUAGUGUGAAAUGGCUGUCAGAUCCUUAUUUGUUUGGAACAAAAUUUUCUUAGUUAAAAACUACAUAAAAGUGAAUGAAGUUUUUAUAAUUAGAAGUAUUUAAAAUGUUAGAAAAUAAUUCUUAGUAUCUUUCCCCAAAAACUAUUAUGUUAUGUAAACUGGAAAAGAGAGGAAUUGUCAAGGAAGUGGGAGAAAAGAGUUUGUUUUUGUUAAACAGAAAAAAGAGCAUAACUUGUCAAAAGAAAGUUACAAUAAGAAUAAAAAAGAUGUGAUUCAUUGAAGAAAUUUUAGAGAAUUUAUUCAACCUUGGACGCUUGGGCGUCAGUGGUAGAAAUUAUAAAAUGGCGUGGAUGAAUUUGGCAAGUGUUAGAUGUUCUUUUAGCUCAUGUUAACUGUCAAUGCCACAAUAUUGCUCUGCAAAUUGGUUAACUUGGUUAACUUUCUCACGAUUUUGCUCCGCAAAUUAUUAUCUUUCACUGUUCAUGUCUGAAUUAUGUACUAUGGGUGAAGGCACCGACUUAGCCGGAGUCCUAUCCGAGAAAGGAGUUCUCGUAGAUACCGCUCACGGUCGCGGACUCGCUCUCACUCACGCUCACAUUCACCGUCGCGCUCUUACUCUAGUUCACACUCGCUUUCUCGUUC
rnacentral:lncRNA from 1 species